rnacentral:rRNA from 1 species
AUGCCCUGGAGCCGCGGCGGAAUCUCGUGUUUAAUCGUCCCGGCAGAGUUAAUGAUGCUCUCACGGUUGAUCGGGAAUCCUUUACCUUGCCUCUUUUGUAGUCCUUGUCGAGGAAUGUACAUGAUAAGGGAGAGGGCAUUGCUAGAAGUUGAUCUUUGGGUGAAGGAGGAAGGGGAUGGGUUAUCCGACAAACGGCUACUUUCUGUGUAUGCCGAGAUCGAUGGGGGGUAUGACUUGGAUGAACUGUUGGAUGAAGAGGUUUCUAGUGACCUUGGCAGCUUGGUCGUCGACUAUCUGUUACUUGAUGAGAGUGUUGAGGUUGUAAUACAAGUCUCUGCAAAGAUUGACCGCCCUCACAUGUGA